rnacentral:rRNA from 1 species
AUUGAACGCUGGCGGCAGGCCUAACACAUGCAAGUCGAACGGUAACAGGAAGAAGCUUGCUUCUUUGCUGACGAGUGGCGGGCGGGUGAGUAAUGUCUGUGACACUGCCUGAUGGAGGGGGAUAACUACUGGAAACGGUAGCUACUACCGCAUAACGUCGCAAGACCAAAGAGGGUGACCUUCGGGCCUCUUGCCAUCGGCUGUGCCCAGAUGGGAUUAGCUAGUAGGUGGGGUAACGGCGCACCUAGGCGACGAUCCCUAGCUGGUCUGAGAGGAUGACCAGCCACACUGGAACUGAGACACGGUCCAGACUCCUACGGGAGGCAGCAGUGGGGAAUAUUGGACAAUGGGCGCAAGCCUGAUGCAGCCAUGCCGCGUGUAUGAAGAAGGUCUUCGGGUUGUAAAGUACUUUCAGCGGGGAGGAAGGGAGUAAAGUUAAUACCUUGAUUCAUUGACGUUACCCGCAGAAGAAGCACCGGCUAACUCCGUG